CACAAGCUUCGAGUGUCGGAGGUAACAACACUAGGGCCCAGCGAGGCUCAACUUGUUAUGUUGUGGCGGUUUUAGACUUUUAGGUAAGUUUCGGGCAAUGUUGUUUUAUAUUAAGGCAUUGGUAGCUGAUGUGCUCUGUGUUUGCUAUAGUCAGCUACUUGUCUGGCUGGAGGUUGCGGCCGAGGGAGCGUGGCUGCCCCAUUGUGUGCGUGGCAUUCUAUGUGCUGCACGGAGCGUCUUUUGUGUCUCCCCAUUCUGCGUCCUCGACGGCGCCUGCCUGUCUGCCGACUGAGGUUGGAGGCGGAAGCGUGGCCUUCAAGCCGGUGCAGAUCCCCUUAGGCGUAGCAUCCAAUUCCUACGCUAAAGCGGCGUCGUUGGGGUGCACCACCCUGGCGCAGGAGCAUUGAAGCUUCUACGUCCCGCCAGUGGCUCACCUGCUGAAGUGGGCUUCUAAACAGUGCGGGACCCCCCGACUGCUGUUCUGUCUGGGCUGUUUUCUGUAUAGUGAUUUAAUCAUUCAUUUCUUUUUGUGUGUGUGUGUGUGUGUGUGGGCCUCCUGGCCGGUAUUACGUUACUAAUGGUUGCUAUUUUGAUGAACAGGAGCUGUUGGUGCCACUGGUAGGAGUGACUAGCUGAUCCCGGUGGUGGUGGUUCUCUUCAUUUUUUCCGUUGUAGUGCACCUCGGUGUCGAUAGUUGGUGUGUGGUUUGUUUAUGUGUGGUGGAACAUUAGGCCCCUUCCCCCUCAGCGAGUCAACUCUGCCAGUAAGCCCUCAGUCCCAGCCCCCUUUUUGUACAUUGCAUUCCAUGGUAACCUGAAUGACUAAGAACCGGAAAAAGAUUUUAUUGAACUUUGUGAUCGUGACUGUAUUUUAAGAAAAUAAAUUGAUAUUAAAAUAAACUUGUAUAAUUUUGUUUAUAGAA